CUCAUUUUUGGUUGUUUGCUUUUUGGCUAGCACCUUCAUGAAUCAGAACUUUCCAUAUAUGGAGGUUAUUCAGCAUGUCCUUUGUGAGUAAUGGUUACAGGUAUAAGGUGCAUACAGGUAGAUGUGAAGAAGGCAGUGGAGGAUAACAGGAAAAUGGAAGAGAAUGAGGAAAUGUAUGGUCCUGUGGAAGAAACACUGGAAUUAAGGCAUCAAUUGCGGGCAAGGCUGAAUCCAGGUUUUGGGGGCCUGAAGCUUAAUCGAUGUGGAGGACUUCUUUGAGGAAAAGCAUGCAAAAUUACAAAUACAAAAUUAGGUAUGAAAGUGGAAUUUCAUGUAGAAUGAGAGAACAAAUUAAAAUAAAUCACAUCCCUUUUUCUCGGAUCUUUUUUGGCUAUUUAUUGGAAAUGCUUACAUAAAAAUGCUUCAUGAUUACAAGCUGACUUUCCCUCCUCAUGUGGAACUUUACAAACCCCAGCAAUUCC
rnacentral:lncRNA from 1 species